rnacentral:rRNA from 1 species
UACGAAGGGGGCUAGCGUUGCUCGGAAUCACUGGGCGUAAAGGGUGCGUAGGCGGGAUCUUAAGUCAGAGGUGAAAGCCUGGAGCUCAACUCCAGAACUGCCUUUGAUACUGAAGAUCUUGAGUUCGGGAGAGGUGAGUGGAACUGCGAGUGUAGAGGUGAAAUUCGUAGAUAUUCGCAAGAACACCAGUGGCGAAGGCGGCUCACUGGCCCGAUACUGACGCUGAGGCACGAAAGCGUGGGGAGCAAACAGG